ACCUUGGCUCUAGACUGCUUACUGUGAAACUGUGCUAUAGGAACAGUAACAGUCUACAGUCAUGGCUA
rnacentral:pre_miRNA from 1 species